GGCGAACGCUGGCGGCGUACUUAACACAUGCAAGUCGAACGAGGAUCGUCGGGUUAGCAAUAAUUCGGCGGUCCGAGUGGCGUACGGGUGAGUAACACGUGGGUAACCUGCCCUCGAGACCGGGACACCCUCUCGAAAGGGAGGCUAAUACUGGAUACGUUUCCCGGGUCGCCAGACCUGGGAAGGAAAGGUGGCGCAAGCUACCGCUCGUGGAGGGGCUCGCGGCCUAUCAGCUAGUUGGUGAGGUAACGGCUCACCAAGGCGAUGACGGGUAGCUGGUCUGAGAGGACGACCAGCCACACGGGAACUGAGACACGGUCCCGACUCCUACGGGAGGCAGCAGUGGGGAAUUUUGGACAAUGGGCGCAAGCCUGAUCCAGCAAUGCCGCGUGCAGGAAGAAGGCCUUCGGGUUGUAAACUGCUUUUGUACGGAACGAAACGGUCCGGGUUAAUACCCUGGGCUAAUGACGGUACCGUAAGAAUAAGCACCGGCUAACUACGUGCCAGCAGCCGCUGUAACAC
rnacentral:rRNA from 1 species